GAUGAACGCUAGCGGCAGGCCUAAUACAUGCAAGUCGAACGGGAUCCAGAUCAAAGCUUGCUUUGGUCUGGUGAGAGUGGCGCACGGGUGCGUAACGCGUGAGCAACCUACCCUUGUCAGGGGGAUAGCCCGGCGAAAGUCGGAUUAAUACCGCAUGACAUCAUUGAGAGGCAUCUUUCGAUGAUCAAAGAUUUAUCGGACAAGGAUGGGCUCGCGUGACAUUAGCUCGUUGGUAAGGUAACGGCUUACCAAGGCUGCGAUGUCUAGGGGCUCUGAGAGGAGAAUCCCCCACACUGGUACUGAGACACGGACCAGACUCCUACGGGAGGCAGCAGUAAGGAAUAUUGGUCAAUGGACGGAAGUCUGAACCAGCCAUGCCGCGUGCAGGAGGACGGCCCUAUGGGUUGUAAACUGCUUUUAUACGGGAACAAACGUCGGUACGUGUACCGGUCUGAGUGUACCGUAAGAAUAAGGGUCGGCUAACUCCGUG
rnacentral:rRNA from 1 species